AUGCUGGCGCUCGACGGCGAGGGAAACGCCGCCCCUUUUCACGGGCGCCGGUUGCUGGUGCUGGCGGGAGGGACUAGCAGGCGUGCGGCAGCCUCAAGCUUCUCCCAUGUGCCUGGACACGAGCGGCACAAGGGAUUGAGGAGCAGGGGGCGAUGCCAAGGGCGUGGAGCAGGGGGUUCACAUGCAGAUGCAUAUCAUCAGCAACCACUGAGACCUCGUGCAACCUCAAGAUGCUAG
rnacentral:rRNA from 1 species